GCCAGCCCGCUCAAGAACUACGAAAGGAAUUGACGGGGGCCCGCACAAGCGGUGGAGCAUGUGGUUUAAUUCGAUGAUACGCGAGGAACCUUACCUGGGCUCAAAUGUAUGUUGACGUAUUCUGAAAGGGAUACUUCUUCGGACAAUAUACAAGGUGCUGCAUGGUUGUCGUCAGCUCGUGCCGUGAGGUGUCGGGUUAAGUCCCAUAACGAGCGCAACCCCUAUCAUUAGUUGCCAUCAGGUCGAGCUGGGGACUCUAAUGAAACUGCCUACGCAAGUAGUGAGGAAGGUGGGGAUGACGUCAAAUCAGCACGGCCCUUACGGCCUGGGCUACACACGUGCUACAAUGGUCGGUACAAAGGGUUGCCAAGCCGCGAGGUGGAGCUAAUCCCAUAAAACCGAUCGUAGUCCGGAUCGCAGUCUGCAACUCGACUGCGUGAAGUCGGAAUCGCUAGUAAUCGUGAAUCAGAAUGUCACGGUGAAUACGUUCCCGGGCCUU
rnacentral:rRNA from 1 species